AUUGAACGCUGGCGGCAGGCCUAACACAUGCAAGUCGCGCGAGCGGCGGACGGGUGAGUAAUGCCUAGGAAUCUGCCUGGUAGUGGGGGAUAACGUCCGGAAACGGGCGCUAAUACCGCAUACCAUCAGAUGAACCCAUAUGGGAUUAGCUUGUAGGUGAGGUAACGGCUCACCUAGGCGACGAUCCCUAGCUGGUCUGAGAGGCUGAUCAGCCACACUGGGACGGAGACACGGCCCAGACUCCUCCGUGAGGCAGCAGUGGGGAAUAUUGCACCAUGGGCGCAAGCCUGAUGCAGCCAUGCCGCGUGUAUGAAGAAGGCCUUCGGGUUGUAAAGUACUUUCAGUCGGGAGGCGUUACCGACAGAAGAAGCACCGGCUAACUCCGUGCCAGCAGCCGCGGUAAUAC
rnacentral:rRNA from 1 species